GCGAUAACCUCGGGAAACUGAGGCCAAUAGCGGAUAUAACUCUCAGGCUGGAGUGCCGAGAGUUAGAAACGUUCCGGCGCUGUAGGAUGUGGCUGCGGCCGAUUAGGUAGAUGGUGGGGUAACGGCCCACCAUGCCGAUAAUCGGGACAGGUUGUGAGAGCAAGAGCCUGGAGACGGUAUCUGAGACAAGAUACCGGGCCCUACGGGGCGCAGCAGGCGCGAAACCUUUACACUGCACGACAGUGCGAUAGGGGGACUCCGAGUGUGAGGGCAUAUAGCCCUCGCUUUUCUGUACCGUAAGGUGGUACAGGAACAAGGACUGGGCAAGACCGGUGCCAGCCGCCGCGGUAAUACCGGCAGUCCAANUGAUGGCCGAUAUUAUUGGGCCUAAAGCGUCCGUAGCUUGCUGUGUAAGUCCAUUGGGAAAUCGACCAGCUCAACUGNUCGGCGUCCGGUGGAAACUACACAGCUUGGGGCCCAGAGACUCAACGGGUACGUCCGGGGUAGCAGUGAAAUCCUGUAAUCCUGGACGGACCACCAAUGGGGAAACCACGUUGAGAGACCGGACCCGACAGUGAGGGACGAAAGCCAGGGUCUCGAACCGGAUUAGAUACCCGGGUAGUCCUGGCUGUAAACAAUGCUCGCUAGGUAUGUCACGCGCCAUGAGCACGUGAUGUGCCGUAGUGAAGACGAUAAGCGAGCCGCCUGGGAAGUACGUCCGCAAGGAUGAAACUUAAAGGAAUUGGCGGGGGAGCACCACAACCGGAGGAGCCUGCGGUUUAAUUGGACUCAACGCCGGAAAUC
rnacentral:rRNA from 1 species